AUAAUACAAUCUUAGAUAUAGAUACGCUAUGCACUGCUAAGGAUAUCUAAAUUGUAUUACAAUCCACGUGGUAGAGUCAUAGUUAGGUUCGCUAUGGUGCAACUCUUUAAGGCAAUAACGAACUAAUUCUAAGCAAGUAAUGGAGAAAUGCCAGGGUCACUAUCUAGCCAUAAUAGUGCUUGACAGUAUGAUACUAACUGAACAAUAAGUAUCA
rnacentral:ncRNA from 1 species